rnacentral:rRNA from 1 species
UACAGAGGUCUCAAGCGUUGUUCGGAUUCAUUGGGCGUAAAGGGUGCGUAGGCGGCGCGGUAAGUCGGGUGUGAAAUCUCGGGGCUUAACUCCGAAACUGCAUUCGAUACUGCCGUGCUUGAGGACUGGAGAGGAGACUGGAAUUUACGGUGUAGCGGUGAAAUGCGCAGAUAUCAGGAAGAACACCCGUGGCGAAAGCGGCUCUGUCGGU